rnacentral:misc_RNA from 1 species
UUCAAGCCGCGUGAAGGAUGGCAGUGGAGCUAUUUUAUGGGCUGCCUUUUUUUGGCAGGCGAUAAAAAGCGGGAACGUACAGCCUGACCCGCA